rnacentral:lncRNA from 10 species
GAUGAAUACAUGUAAACAACUAUUUACAUGUCCGGAUUGAUGGCUUAUUUUAAAAAAUUUUCUUACUCACUUCAUUGGUUCUAAUAAUACAAGCUCCAUAAUUUUGGAAACUGAAUGACUCUGCAAUGUAGAAAGGCUAUACCUUGGCCCGGCGCGGUGGCUCACGCCUGUAAUCCCAGCACUUUGAGAGGCCGAGGCGGGCGGAUCACAGGAUGCCCGGGCAUUUGUAGAGAACACUGCCAAAGAAAAAAAGGCUCAGGAGUCCAGCCCCAAGGGAGCUGGAACAGCCUCACAUGGUGCAGGGGCCAAGAAGUUAGCCAAGAACUACUUCAUUUCCCACCCCCCAUCAAAUGAUGCCAAGGAGACUAACUCCGAAGAGGACUGAUGUAAAAUGCUUCUGCCCAGCAUGGGUGUUCACUGCACGAGAGCACUUGGCCAAGGGGGUGAGUGGGGCUGAAAAUCCUGCUCAGGCUCCAUGCUGAGCCACAUACAAAGUCUCCCCGAGACAUUGUGGGGCCCUUCUGGACAGACAUGGAGAGCUUCUGAAAGUCCCGCAUGCUUGGAAUUAUUUUCAAGACCCCAGGUAUGUGGUCUGCAGUGGUUCUAAUCACUGUUACUAUGGACUGAGGUACUCAUUUAGUCCUAAUAAGACCAGAGAAGUACAUUGUGAGAGGCGUGGGAACGGCAGCAUCACUCACUGUCUUGUCCACGUGUCUCCCCGGAGGCAUUUUCAGAUUUCUGCCACAUAGGAGAUGCUCAUGGCGAACUGAAACUCAGGUACAUUGGAGGAUUCAUUGCUGUGGCCAGAGAAAGCAGAGGACAUGCAAAAUGCAUAUUUCCCUAUCCUCCAGGAUGGCUUUGUCUAGUUAAGACAGCCACUCUGGCUUAGGGGUAUGUACAGACCUCCCAGUGCUGCACGCGUGAAAAACAUGGCACAGAAACCUCACGGCAAGGAGUCUUCCAACAAGGAUGACAUCUUUCACAAGGACGUGGAGUAAACGACAGAGCCUUCGUGGUUCCCAUCUAAAAUGAAGAGGGAGUGAAAAGUUGAAUUGCUCCUUUCAAGAAUCAACAAGCUUGGCAUUUUAAUUCCUAUCCCAGGGGCAGUGAAGCCCCAACAGAGAAAACUCAAACCAGAAAGUCGUCUGGCUGCUGAGCGGGAGGAGUGUGAGGUCCCCUGGGAGGACCUCAGGCCUCAGGCCUCUGCAAACUUGGGAAACUGCUGCUGAGGUCCUUCCAGCUCCAUGGUCCCCAGGCUGGUGACUGAUGGGGGAAUAUGGAGUCCAGCUGACUACCAGAGCCUGCAUGUCUGCUGCUAGCCGGGAGGAAAGGAUGACUUCUACCUCCUUUCCAUAUUCCAAAUUUUACAUGACUGCAUUUUUUUGGCAGCACCCUGCUGGCAAAGGAGACUUGACGUGUGGUUCCUGGGCUUCUGUCACCUGCACAGACAGGGGUGAAAUGAGUGUCACAAGCAGCCACCACUCUGCAGCAUACCUCCACAUCUAGGCGUGGUGGGGAGCCCCACUUAUACUUGGAGGUGUCCUGGCACCCUACCCACUUUUUGGUAGGUGUUUGGGUGUCCAAGGCUUUGCAGAAGAAGCAGGCAGGGAGUCUAUGGUGGAGUAACGUGGUGGAGAGGCCUGGAGAGGUGUCAUUCUAGCUGGGCAGCGGGUGACACGCAGUCAUCCCCUCAGUGAACGCUGGACGUGCUCUGUGGCUCCCUGCAGGCCUGCGGAUCCACCAGGGGGCUCCGUUCCUUCUGGGCCAAAGCUGAAGAAGCGGCUGCUGCACCAGAGAAGUGCAUCUGGAUGAAGGUGGAAGCACACGCGGGCCCGCAGAACCGCCUAAGAUAUCUUCAGGUGUGGGCUUGGAACUGGUAGGCUUUCAUUUCUGCUUCAUUCCAUGGCCAAAGCAAGCCACAUGGGCAAGUCUGAAGCCGGGGCAAGAAAGUAUCCUCCACCCACAACGAAACCAUGGCAAGCGGGUAGAAUGGAGGUUGCACUAUUCGGGCCGGCCACUCUCCUACUGGCUGACAGGAUGCUGCCCGAGAUGAAACAGGGUGUGUGUGCACCACGGAGUCAGUCCAAGACUCCUGUUCUCACUCAGGGAUUCUUCAUUUCUUCUUCCUAUUGCCUCCACUUCAUGUUAUUUUCUUCCCUUCCCAUUUACAAGUAAAACUGACCAGAGCCCCAGGAAUAAAUGGUUUUCUUGGCUUCCUCCUUGCUCCCAU